AAACCUUCUAGCUAACUAAGAUCAAGUCUAACAUCUGUUCACAUCAGUUUAAUAUCUGAUGUACCCUCUACCUGAAGAUAAUAUAGUAAUUGGACUCUUGGAGCUGGGGAAUGGAAUAGGAACUAGUUUGCCCACCCCACACUUUGGUCUGUCAUAUCAGUGAUUCCAAGAAUGGUGUACUCCUU
ensembl:snRNA U2 U2 spliceosomal RNA